GUUUUUUCACUCUCUCUUUCAUUCACUGCUGAAGAACCAGCGAGAUUUGCUCUGAAGAACUUCUGUUCUCCUGAAAUCCUACCAGUUGGAAGCAUCGAUCUGAGAUUUUAGGUCAUUUGUGAGAUUUGAAAGCAUCGAUCUAAUAAUCAGACAAUACAUCUUUUUGUUCUAGUUUUAUGAUUUGGGUUCAAUUUUAAGUUAACUUGGUUGUCUGUGAAAUUUGGGUUUCAAUUUUUUCGAUUUUGAAUCGUUCUCACCGAGUAUGGAACUAAGAAAUCAUGAUAAGCUUUACUUCUCUUCAUCUCUGUUUUCUUUUUAUAAAAAGAAAGAAAAAAAAAACUUAUAUCCAAUCUCAAACUGUCUGCAAUUAGGUUUUUCUCAAUUUACUGUCUAAUGUAAUUUGCUUGGAAAGGUUAACUUUCUCUAUAGAUAAUAUUGAAAUCCUUACUAUUUACCAGUCAGAUCCAUUCUUUUAAUGUUUGUUAAUAGAUUUCACUUAUAAAGGAGAGAAUUAGGACAUAAAGGAGAGUACGAUGUUCAAGUUGGUUGUCAAUUGCGUAAUAUAUGCUUGUAUAUCGAGGAGUUCCACUGGAUUUUAUGCAGGUAUCUGGGCUUAAGUCAUAAAGCAGUACCCUGGUGAUAUUUUAGCAGCAGCUGAAUCUACGUAUGAUUUGUCGAGGAAAUUGGUUAAGCAAGCGGAGUCUCGUGAUACUUCUGGUGAUCUUUUAGUCUUUCUUUCCCUGUUUUUCAAUGCCUUUGUUAGUUGACACAAACUAGGGUACCCAUCCAUUUAUGAAUAUCAACAUAGAUCGAAUAUUGUAUGUCAGGGUUCAGUAAGUUUACUUGUGUAUAUUUGUAUCAAU